GUCGCCGCGGAGCUGGACGGCGCCCGGCUGCAGGCGCAGCAGCUGCUCCAGGGGCAGCAGGCCCAGCUCGCAGUCGCACGUCCGCAGGCUGCGCAGCUCCCCGGACGAGACGGAGACAUGCGUCCGAGGGCCCCAGGAUCGAUCCCCAUCACUGACUGAGUCUCUCUGAACAAAUCUCAUUCACCCAGCGUGCACCGAUCACUACUCAAUCCACCCUCCGUGGGGAGGAAGGAAAAAUCUGCCUCUGAAACAAGAACUCCAGAGCAAGAGCACUGACAUAGUCCCUGCUGUGCACCAGGAACCAUCCGAAGCUCUGAUGGUACCCAAAACACCACCACCAUCACCACCACCAAAGCCCAACAAAACCCUAAUCAACAUGAAUGCUGUAAUAGAUGUAUGAGCUAUAGUAGAUACAUGGUCAAGGGAGUGGCUGAUUCUACUUGGGAAGCCCAGAGAAGGUGACAAAUGGGCUGGAGUUUGAACACAGCGUAGGAGCUCCCAGGUGAAGGAAGACCAUCAAUCAAGAGAAGAUUCUAGACCAACCUAUGCAAGGAGAGAAAUUAUGGUCCAUUUGGAGAAGAGUGGAAAUGUUUAUAUGCCUAAAGCAGACAAUGCCUAUUUAGGGUGAGAGGGGUGCGUUUUAUAUGAAAUGAGACCAGAAAGGGCAGUUGGAGCCAAAUUGUGACCAGGCCUUCUGAAUUGUCUGAGAAUUUGGAUUCUUAAGGCAAUGGAGGCCUUUGAAUGUUUUGAAGGAAGGAAGUGAUAUUUAUGCCUGAGUUUAGAUAGAUACCUUGGAUUAUGGCCACAUAGAAGAUGUUUUGAAAAUUGAAGUUAGAAAGAUUAGGUACGAGACUGAUGUCAUAAUCCAGGUAAGAUACCAUAGAAGUCUGAACUAAUUCACACAGCAGCUGUGGGAACGUAGAUGACAGGAUGAAUUUGGGACAUUUUUGAACUAGAGUUCAGCAGGAUUUCAUGAGCAAAUAAGUGGAAAAGGGAGAAGUGAGAUAAAGGUAGAAAAAUGUAGAGAGAUGUUUAGUCUCUCAUUUUGCUACCUGACCAGACAGUGUGGAUUUUGAGCUACUACGGAACGUCAAGUGGAGAAGUGCAGGAGGUAGCUACUUACCUGAGAGUAGGGGAUUUUGGAGAGAAGACAGGGGUAAUAAUUGAAAGUCAUUAGCUCAAAGGAGCAUCUAGCUAGUGAUAAGGCUGAAUCUAAGCCUCUAGUUUACUUCCACAAAUGUAACAGAGCACCUGCUAUGCCCCAAGGCCAGUGGUUUGCUGGAGAUUUAGAAGUGAAUGGAGUGUAAAAAUGAGUCAAGCAAAACCUCAUUCAAGACGGAGCUAGAAAUACCUGAAGGAAAUUCUCAUGAAUGUACCACUCUUCACCACUUACUUUACAUAUACUAGCAGGGUUUUCCUUGCCCAGCAACAACCCAGCCAGUGAGAAGCCACUACAACCCCGAGCUCUUGCACUCUUCCAAAGAACUUUCAUUCAAAACCACCCCUCCCGACGUCCUCCUUUCCUCUAUAACAGCAAGCCCCUCUCCUUUGUUCUCCAGGCUUGCCCACCCCUUGGCCAUAGUUUGCACGUCCUGAAUUGCAAUUCUUCUGUGAUUCCAAAUAAACAUUUUUUCUGCUUGAUAACCUUUGUUGUUUAAGGUUUAAGGUUGACAAAAGGAUGAUGGUCGUAUCCUCAAAUAUCAGGGAGGAAUGCAAGGGUCAGCACAGCUAGUUUCCCGCACCAUGUCCCAACUCGUUGCUGAAGUCUAGUUAUAUUUUGCUUACAGCGUGUUUGUGAUCUGAUGGAGUACACCCUCAACAACAACAGGUACAAAAGUUGUUUUCCCGAUUAGAAAAGUCAGUGAGGACAGGUUCAGCAGAGCCCCAUCCAAGCCCACAUAGACUGAGCUCGAUACCAUUGAAUGCCCUCAAGCCUGCACUGUCUGCGGAUAUUUGGCUUUGUUGAAGGGUAACUUGUAACAUCAGUUUUAUGUCAGAGUUACAUGCAUUUGGUUAAGAUGAACAUAGCUGUCCCAUCAAAAUCUGUUUCCUUUACAGUAAAAUAUCAACAUUUAUUGUCUAAAUAGAAUACUAAAUGAGAUUUCUCUUUGCUUCUCCAUAGUCCUCUGAUUUACACUUUGUUUGCAUUUCCAAAUGAGUGUGUAUUGUUUUGUAUAGAAAAAUGAUGUCAAGCAUAAUAAAAAAAUU